rnacentral:rRNA from 1 species
CCUACGGGCGGCAGCAGUGGGGAAUAUUGCACAAUGGGCGCAAGCCUGAUGCAGCCAUGCCGCGUGUGUGAAGAAGGCCUUCGGGUUGUAAAGCACUUUCAGCGGGGAGGAAGGCGGUGAGGUUAAUAACCUCAUCGAUUGACGUUACCCGCAGAAGAAGCACCGGCUAACUCCGUGCCAGCAGCCGCGGUAAUACGGAGGGUGCAAGCGUUAAUCGGAAUUAUUGGGCGUAAAGCGCACGCAGGCGGUCUGUCAAGUCGGAUGUGAAAUCCCCGGGCUCAACCUGGGAACUGCAUUCGAAACUGGCAGGCUAGAGUCUUGUAGAGGGGGGUAGAAUUCCAGGUGUAGCGGUGAAAUGCGUAGAGAUCUGGAGGAAUACCGGUGGCGAAGGCGGCCCCCUGGACAAAGACUGACGCUCAGGUGCGAAAGCGUGGGGAGCAAACAGGAUUAGAUACCCGGGUAGUC